AGUGAACGCUGGCGGUAGGCCUAACACAUGCAAGUCGAACGGCAGCACAGGAGAGCUUGCUCUCUGGGUGGCGUGUGGCGGACGGGUGAGGAAUACAUCGGAAUCUACUUUUUCGUGGGGGAUAACGUAGGGAAACUUACGCUAAUACCGCACACGACCUACGGGUGAAAGCAGGGGACCUUCGGGCCUUGCGCGAUUGAAUGAGCCGAUGUCGGAUUAGCUAGUUGGCGGGGUAAAGGCCCACCAAGGCGACGAUCCGUAGCUGGUCUGAAAGGAUGAUCAGCCACACGGGAACUGAGACACGGUCCAGACUCCUACGGGAGGCAGCAGUGGGGAGUAUUGGACAAUGGGCGCAAGCCUGAUCCAGCCAUACCGCGUGGGUGAAGAAGGCCUUCGGGUUGUAAAGCCCUUUUGUUGGGAAAGAAAUCCAGCUGGCUAAUACCCGGUUGGGAUGACGGUACCCAAAGAAUAAGCACCGGCUAACUUCGUGCCAGCAGCCGCGGUAA
rnacentral:rRNA from 1 species